GACGUAGGGCGCGAGCGUUGUCCGGAUUUAUUGGGCGUAAAGAGCUCGUAGGCGGCUUGUUGCGUCGGCUGUGAAAACCCGCGGCUUAACCGUGGGCUUGCAGUCGAUACUGGCAAGCUCGAGUUCGGUAGAGGGUGACGGAAUUCCCGGUGUAGCGGUGAAAUGCGUAGAUAUCGGGAGGAACAUCGAUGGCGAAGGCAAUCACCUGGGCCUGAACUGACACUGAGACACGAAAGCGUGGGUAGCAAACAGG
rnacentral:rRNA from 1 species